GAACGAUGAUCCGGUGCUUGCACCAGGGAUUAGUGGCGAACGGGUGAGUAACACGUGAGUAACCUGCCCUUGACUCUGGGAUAAGCCUGGGAAACUGGGUCUAAUACCGGAUAUGACCUUCCAUCGCAUGGUGGUUGGUGGAAAGCUUUUGUGGUUUUGGAUGGACUCGCGGCCUAUCAGCUUGUUGGUGAGGUAAUGGCUUACCAAGGCGACGACGGGUAGCCGGCCUGAGAGGGUGACCGGCCACACUGGGACUGAGACACGGCCCAGACUCCUACGGGAGGCAGCAGUGGGGAAUAUUGCACAAUGGGCGCAAGCCUGAUGCAGCGACGCCGCGUGAGGGAUGACGGCCUUCGGGUUGUAAACCUCUUUCAGUAGGGAAGAAGCGAAAGUGACGGUACCUGCAGAAGAAGCGCCGGCUAACUACGUGCCAGCAGCCGCGGUAAUACGUAGGGCGCAAGCGUUAUCCGGAAUUAUUGGGCGUAAAGAGCUCGUAGGCGGUUUGUCGCGUCUGCCGUGAAAGUCCGGGGCUCAACUCCGGAUCUGCGGUGGGUACGGGCAGACUAGAGUGAUGUAGGGGAGACUGGAAUUCCUGGUGUAGCGGUGAAAUGCGCAGAUAUCAGGAGGAACACCGAUGGCGAAGGCAGGUCUCUGGGCAUUAACUGACGCUGAGGAGCGAAAGCAUGGGGAGCGAACAGGAUUAGAUACCCUGGUAGUCCAUGCCGUAAACGUUGGGCACUAGGUGUGGGGGACAUUCCACGUUUUCCGCGCCGUAGCUAACGCAUUAAGUGCCCCGCCUGGGGAGUACGGCCGCAAGGCUAAAACUCAAAGGAAUUGACGGGGGCCCGCACAAGCGGCGGAGCAUGCGGAUUAAUUCGAUGCAACGCGAAGAACCUUACCAAGGCUUGACAUGAACCGGAAAGACCUGGAAACAGGUGCCCCGCUUGCGGCCGGUUUACAGGUGGUGCAUGGUUGUCGUCAGCUCGUGUCGUGAGAUGUUGGGUUAAGUCCCGCAACGAGCGCAACCCUCGUUCUAUGUUGCCAGCACGUGAUGGUGGGGACUCAUAGGAGACUGCCGGGGUCAACUCGGAGGAAGGUGGGGACGACGUCAAAUCAUCAUGCCCCUUAUGUCUUGGGCUUCACGCAUGCUACAAUGGCCGGUACAAAGGGUUGCGAUACUGUGAGGUGGAGCUAAUCCCAAAAAGCCGGUCUCAGUUCGGAUUGGGGUCUGCAACUCGACCCCAUGAAGUCGGAGUCGCUAGUAAUCGCAGAUCAGCAACGCUGCGGUGAAUACGUUCCCGGGC
rnacentral:rRNA from 1 species